GCACAAGCGGUGGAUGAUGUGGUUAAUUCGAUGCAACGCGAAGAACCUUACCAGGGCUUGACAUGCCGCUGACCGGUUUAGAGAUAGACCUUUAUCCUUCGGGGUACAGCGGACACAGGUGGUGCAUGGUUGUCGUCAGCUCGUGUCGUGAGAUGUUGGGUUAAGUCCCGCAACGAGCGCAACCCUUGUCUUAGUUGCCAUCAUUAAGUUGGGCACUCUAAAGAGACUGCCGAUGACAAAUCGGAGGAAGUGGGGAUGACGUCAAAUCAUCAUGCCCCUUAUGUUCUGGGCUACACACGUGCUACAAUGGCCGGUACAGACGGACGCAAAGCCGCGAGGUGGAGCAAAUCCUAAAAAGCCGGUCUCAGUUCGGAUUGCAGGCUGCAAUUCGCCUGCAUGAAGUCGGAAUCGCUAGUAAUCGCAGGUCAGCAUACUGCGGUGAAUACGUUCCCGGGCCUU
rnacentral:rRNA from 1 species